AGGAUGCAAAACACCAAAUGAACAAUUCUUGCCAAUGAAACCAUGCCACUACUUUGGAGAAUUCUCACAGAAAAUUGCUCUCCAACUAUCUUACAUAUUUAUCAUAUCCUUCUGGUGCAGCAAGGAAGAAAGAACACUUUAUUACUUAUUUGAUAUGAAGUGGCAUUUUAUACUAGUCUAACCUAGAACGAUUCCAUGUAUAUGAUGUAUACAUACUCAAAACAUGACUUGAGGCCCAUCAUGAUAUGUAGAGGAAGGGUAAUCUAAAAAGCAAUAUGGGUUGGACUCCUGGGGAUGGGGUGAUUUGGAUCUAGUCCAAGCCUACACACUACCUAGCAGCUCUCUUGUAAAAGUCACUUCACUCUUCAGAGCCCAGGUCUUUGAAAGUGCUGGGAGGUGGUGGUGGAGGUGGUGGUGAGGGGUGGUGAGGGGGAGAGGCAGAGGGAGAGAGGGAGAAAGGAUCUUCAGCAAGAUCCAUGCACAGCCAGCUGCCCAAUGAGGGCCUUGAUCCCACAAGCCUGAGAUCAUGACUCCAGCCAACUUUAAGAGUCAGACGAUUCACAUACUGAGAGACCCUGUUGACCCUCAUUUCUCUUUUCAUUCACAGGAACAACUCCAGGUCUUUGGAGUGAACGUUUUAGUACAGGUGUUGCUGGGAGUCCAUUUCCAACGACCCUAGAAGCUAGAAACGAGGGCAGGGCUACAGAGGGACCCAGCUUCACCAGUACUGGGCAAAUAGCAGGGACCCCAGGAGUUUCCAAGGGCUUCACAGCAGCACCCGGCAGUGAGAGCACACGUGGAGACUCCGGCGCCCCAGGCACGACCUUGGGAGGCAGAGCAGGUAUGCCAAGUUGGGAGCUUCUCCUCAGGCACCUCAGGCAAGCGGCCAGUGGCUAAUGCCAGGAGGGAGUCGCUCCUGGUCAAGUGGGAGAGACCAUCUUCAUGAGCCGACUCUCCAUGUGUUUGGGGGCCUUCAUGGCAGCAUGUCUGUCGCAUCAGGUCAGAUGUGAGUAGCUUGCGACUCACUCACUCUUUGGAGAGGUCUCAAAGAAGAGUUCUCCAACCACCUUCCCUAUGGAUCCAGCACAUUCGGUGUAGUGAGGAGGAGGAAGUCUUUGUGACUUCUUGCUCCUGAGCUGCGCCUUUCUCAAGUCUAGUCUAGAAGGCGUUCCAUGCUACCCGAGGUGAAUGGGUAGUCCAAGCACACCGUGUGUCACCUCACGAUCCAAAGGGGCAGCGUGAGCACAGAAGACAUAUGGGUUGGACCUCAGGGGCCUCGGUGACUUGGAGUUUGUUUGGUCCUGGCCUGGUCAGUGCCGUGCAGCUCUCCUGGCUGGAUCAGUGACAUACCUAUUGGGAGCCCAUUCUGGUGGGUGUGGGGGCGGUGGUGGAGCUGGUGGUGAGUUGGCGAGUGCAGAGGGACAGAGGGAGAUAGGAUCUUCAGCAGACUCCACACAGAGCAGGAUGACCCCGAGGGCCUUGAUCCCACCAGCCUGACGUCAUGACCCCAGCUCACAUCAACAGUCAGAGGCCUCCCGGACGGGGUCACCGCCCUUCUUGACCAUCAUUCUCUUUUCUUUGUGCGCAGGAACCACUCUAGGUCCUCGGAGUGAACCUUCUGGGACAGGUGAGUAUCUUCCCUGCUGGCUUUGGAGGUCCAAAAGCAAACACAUCUGCCAGUGCCCACUAGAAGUCCCGUUGGCUUCGUCAGGAAACCCUGAUAGGGCAUAGGAGGAAGGCUUCGGGAAAGAGCGUUGCAGACAAGUAACGUGGCGAGGAUUCGGCACAAACCAACGGGCCUAGCGGACCCGACUUGACAUUACCUUGUCUUUGACCGGGUCCUACGCACUGGCUCUAACAGCGUCUCCAGGUUUCUUUCCUUCCUUUCCAUCCCCGCGUAAUAAAGAAUCGAUCCCAGAAUUCA
rnacentral:lncRNA from 12 species